rnacentral:misc_RNA from 1 species
UUGUACUCCACCGGAUCACAUGACACGUGCACACUACACACAAUCCCCUUAUCUCGCCUCCUUCUCACCACUACCACCGACUAAUCCGGAAUCCGGUUUGGGCAAAAGACAAGGGUGCGAAACCAAGUAAACAGGUAGCGUUGCAGGAGAAAAGAGAAGGAACAGGCCGUGAGGGAACAACAGAGCGGACAGCCACAGCUGCAUAACUCGAUUUAUCCUGGCUGCUCUGUGAUUCUGCGGUGUUUGGCCGUCGUGGCAGCGCACGUUGGGGGAUUGCUGAUUUAGUGCUGCCAACGCCAAGUAACGGUGAAGUAACGGCUCAACUACGAACCGACAUUACACGACCCAAAAUGCAACUCGAUUACACACACCAUGACCAAUACGAAGACGACACGUGACAACCGUUCUUUUUCUGCACACCUCCGCCCUUUCCACCCGUCUUCCACGCCUGCUCCCGCUUCUCCAUGCCUCAACUCUUUUGCCGCUAACUGGUUUCACCUUCCGAGAGUUGCACUAAGUGCGUCAGUCUGACACCCGAAACGAAACCAUCUCGGCCCAAGAUGCUAAACAGACGCUAAAACACACACUAGCAGCGGGUUAGCGGGUGUCAGGAGUGAUGCAGAGGCGGGUAAGAGUGGGCACAUUGGCGGAAUCGUGUAUUUACCAGCAAGCGUUCAACCAAAUCACCUUCUCAUCAACCUAGUCCCCAAUCGCCUUUUCGCCUUCCUGUCUCCGUCCAACCUCUACGAUCCCACCCAUUCCAGCCCGACUUUUCGAUUAUCCCGCAUUAAUUGAACGCACGCCGCUCCCACCAUUUCUCCCUCUGCACUCUGUGGAUCUCGACUCGCGAUAAGCCAGAUACGCAAUGCAUACGAAAAGGCUCACGGCGCAGCGCCUCCACUGUGCCCUCUGCCUCAGGCGGUGCUGAUCCCUGUGCCUAUACGACCAUUGUCCGUGCAAUUUUAAGGAGUUAUGCCCCCCAGGUGUUGUCGUCGAAUGUCGCCAUGAGCGUGAGUGACACAGCAGGAUCAUGACAAGAUAUUUUAUUUUCCAAAAUAUUUAUUUUCCAGAACAUUUACUUUUCAGGAAUAUUUAUUUUUCAGAUGUGGACAAUUCGGGCCGUUACAGCAACCACAUCAGCUACAAGUACACCCUGCAACAUGACUGAUUAGCAGAAAAACACACACCAAAACCGCUUGGCAUCUCGUUCUUCGCUCUACACCAACCUGAGAGGCAACAACACCCUCGUAUCUCAACAUGGAACCAUCAUAAGCCCUCGUACCGGCACGCUCACUCAUGUCAAAACACGCUCACUCGUGUCAAGACACACCCACCCACACCCACCGACAUCCACCGACAUCCCCAUCCCUGCAUACACACGUAUUCGAUCGUGCAUACAUGACAGGGGUGCGUCUGUGCGUCUGUCCCGUGUCUGAAACGUCACGUGACCGCGCAUACAUCGACAUGUCUUGGUGGGGGUACCAUGUAUGUACAAUGUACUGUGGUGUAGGUAGUAGGUAUCGAUGGAGUUCAGUAGGUAUCAGUGGGGUCACGGUUAUGCGAAGAAGGACUGAAAAGAAGUCACUGAUUGUUCUUCAGACAGGGAAGAACACAGUCAUGAUUUUACUCGAUUUCCUCUGAUUAAAUCCGAUUAAAUCAGCUAUCUAUAGAGGGAUCCUUCACCUGUGUCCUCCACCAAAAACGCCAAUACGGAAGACGCAUUUGGAUGGGCAAUGCGCACCAACCAUAAAAAGAUUUAUGCAAACAAAUACACAGAUCUUGAACUGUGUAGGGGCGUAUAGAUGUGUUGUUAACUAGACCAGUUGGUCUCGUAUGGACAAUCUGACAGCUCCAGAAUCAUCCACCACCUCUUGCCACUACAUUUAAAGUCUCGCCACAUCUCUAUCUCUCUCAAAGCCCCUUCCACAGCCUCUCUUCUCGCCCUACCUAGACUCACAAGGUCACUUUUCCGUAAAAGUUUGUUUUUCGGGAAGAUCUUUUGCCAGAUGCGGCCUACAUGUGACAUCAACAAAGGGAGCAUGUAGCGGCUGAACGGAGGGGUUUUCUGACUAAACAAUUGGGUGAGGGGAGAUGCUGAUACCUCAAUUGGCCCCAUUUCGACCUUUUUCCCUCUGUUUUGCCAGACCUGCAGCUCCUGCAACUCCUGUCUAUGGUCUGUAACACAUUUGAUCUAUCCAUGUCUCUGCUCUCAUAAUUAAUACGACACUGGCUGAAAAGUUUGACUUUGAGUCUAACCUACGCCGAAAGUAUUUUUUGGGGCCGUGCGAUUGGGUGUUGAUUUGGCGGUGGUGGUUAUAAUCGCUGGGGAAAUGGAUCAAUGGUCAAUGGUCAAUGGGGUAGAUCAAGAGAGA